UUUAAGAACACUAGCUUUAUGUGUGCGGAUGUAACAUCUCCAGAUUUGAAAUUUGAGGCAGAAUCUGUGGAUAUGAUAUUCUCAAAUUGGUUACUAAUGUAUCUUUCAGACAGCGAGGUGGAAAAGUUGGCAGCAAAAUUGGUGAAUUGGGUAAAAGAAGGGGGAUAUAUUUUCUUCAGGGAAUCUUGUUUCCAUCAAUCUGGUGAUUCCAAGAGGAAAGUCAACCCAACACACUAUCGUGAACCAAGGUUUUAUACCAAGGUCUUUAAAGAAAGUCAUUCGUAUGAUGCCCAUGGGAAUUCAUUCGAGCUCUCUCUUAUUUCUUGCAAAUGUAUUGGAGCUUAUGUGAGGAACAAAAAGAAUCAGAAUCAGAUUUGUUGGUUAUGGCAAAA
rnacentral:misc_RNA from 1 species